rnacentral:rRNA from 1 species
UACGUAGGGGGCGAGCGUUAUCCGGAAUGAUUGGGCGUAAAGCGUCCGCAGGUGGCAGUUCAAGUCUGCUGUCAAAGACCGGGGCUUAACCUCGGAAAGGCAGUGGAAACUGAACAGCUAGAGUAUGGUAGGGGCAAAGGGAAUUCCUGGUGUAGCGGUGAAAUGCGUAGAGAUCAGGAAGAACAUCGGUGGCGAAGGCGCUUUGCUGGACCAUAACUGACACUCAGGGACGAAAGCUAGGGGAGCGAAUGG